GCGGAAGUGGUGCAACUGGUUCAGCACACUGCCUCUCUAUCACAGAGACAAACGGCGCAGCGCUUGGCAAGGCCAGCGACUCAAGGGUAAUAAACCCGGGUUCCGGAGAUCAGGCAGAGAUGCGGGUUCGAAUCUCGCCUUUCGCA